AUGCUCCGCCGCCAGCGCCACUUCCUCCCGGCCAAGCCCCGCCGCCGCCCUCCGCCCCGCCCCAAACCCGCCGCCGAGCCCUCCGCCCCGACGUACACCCGCGACGUCGUCCGCCGCGUGACCAACAUACUCCGCGACCACCCCUGGUCGGCGGCGCGCCCGCUCCUCCUCUCCCUCCCGGGCCUCGUCUGGGACUCGCACGUCGUGGCGCGCGUCCUCAAGACCCACCCGCCCCUCCAGAAGGCCUUCCUCUUCUUCCGCCUCGCCGCCUCCUCCCCCACACCCGGGGCCGCCUUCCGCCACGACCGCUACACCUACACCUCCAUGCUCCACCUCCUCGGCGAGGCCGGCCGGGUCCCCGCCAUGCUCCGCCUGCUCGCCGAGAUGCUCCGCGCCGGGGUCGACCCCGACGCCGCCACGUUCACCACCGUCAUGCACUGGCUGGCGCGCGCCGGGGACGUGGACGCCGCGAUGCGGGUGUGGGAGGAGAUGCGCUCCCGCAGGGGGAAGUGCCGCCCCACGCUCGUCAGCUACACGGCCUGCGUCAAGAUCCUCUUCCACGCCGGGAGGGCCGCCGAGGGCAGGAGGGUGUUCGAGGAGAUGGUGGCCGAGGGGCUGCGGCCCAGCUGCACCACCUACACCGUGCUCAUCGAGCAUCUCGCUGACGCAGGAAAAUUCCAAGCUACUCUACAAAUUAUGAGUGACAUGCAAGAUGCAGGCGUAGAACCAGACAAGCCACUCUGCAAUAUUCUAGUCAAGAAGUGUGCCAGCGCUGGUGAGACGUCAGUGAUGACCUUCAUUCUUCAGCACAUGAAGGAGAAAGGCAUUGUUCUCCGUAGGCCUGUCUUUUUGGAAGCACUAGAAGCUCUAAAAGCUAGUGGUGAGAGCCCUAAUCUUCUUUGGGAAGUGAAUCCUCAUCUUGCAUCCGAAGGAAUGGAAUAUGACCCAACAUUUUCUCAUCGAAGCUACAUUACUUACAGAAGUACGAUUAUAUACCUUUUGGCUUCUAGAAACUGGUCUGCUAUCGAACAGAUGGUAAAUGAAUUGACCACGAGGAAUGUGAAGUUGGAAUCGCAUAUAAUAUCUGAUAUUAUUCAGGCCAGCUGCGCAAACUGCAGACCAUCAUGUGGACUCACAGUUCUGUACUAUAGCCUAAGAGUAGGCAGUGAACUUGACAGAUCUGCAUAUAGUUGCCUUCUUGGUCAGUACAUCAGAAAUAAUUCGUUUGAUUUGGUGUCUAAGAUUGUUGAAAGAUUGGUUAAACAUGGCUGCAAUCUUGGAGCAUAUCUGUUAUCUGUCUUAAUACUCAGACUGGGUUCUGCUGGGCAUUCUUCAUACGCGGCACAUAUCUUUGGGUUAUCACCUGCAGAGCAGAAUGUGAUUACCUACACUGCCCUUAUGAAUGCCUAUUUUCAAGCUGGCGAAGUUGAUAAGGCUCUUGAACUAUUCACACAGAUGAUAACUAAUGAGAUAUCUGCUUCUGCGGGUACAUAUGAAGUUCUGAUAUAUGGCUUACAAAAGGCUGGGCGGAAACAGGACUCUGACCGUUACCGAAGAGAAAGAAUGGAGAUGCAAUGGCAUCGUCAGUACCGUGACAAGCAUUCCCCUGAAGAUAGCUUAUGUGACCAUUUAUUUUGUGGCUUUCAUGGUUAGAAGAAAGAAGAUUGUUUGUUGGGUGAUGUUCUAUACUUGGGGAUUUCCUUAGCUCUACCCACCCAGCUUCAUUUUUUCACAGAUUGAAGGUGUAUAAAUGGAUCUCCUGAUAUUUGCUUUGACACAAAGUUAUUACACAGCAAACAUGUGAUUACUUUUCCAUGGCAUGGUAAAAGAAAAUAAAACUGGUUGAUCUCUACAUGGUUACAAGAACCAAGGGAUGGUGAAACUAAAUCGAAAGAGUCUCAUGAAAGGAUUGCUGAAUUUGGAACCUAGAAUGUAUAAGCUAACUCUUUAUGUUAGUGACGACUGCUGAUGUAAAGGGAGAAAAUCCAUUAGAGCUGAACCGUGAAAGGGUGAGAGCGCAUCAUUGGAGUACUAUGGAGGUCACGAAGCAGCUGGAAGUCUGGAAGUGCAAAGGAGCAACUUAAUUGUUGGAUAGCUUGUUAAAAUUUAAGGAAACAAUCAUGUGUGUUUAUGCGCAGAUGGCCCUGCAACCACUUAACCUGCAAGAGCUCAAGGAUCCGUAUCUACCUGCUGAAUUAGGUACUGCAAACAAACAGCCAACGAAUUAUUUUUGCAAAUCGUUAACUGCAAGUGACACAAGCUCGCAGCUGAGAAAGUGUUUCCUCUGGUGGAUUUCACUAUGCAACCUCCAGCACAGGAGUUGCCUGCAAAAGAUCUUCAUGGCAAUGAGUAGAAAUUCAUUAGAGCUGACGGUGGAGGGGAUGUUGCGUGCUAAGAGAUGAUCACCUGGAGCACCCCAUCUCUUUCAUUUCUUCAUCCCACUGUCAUCCAAGUCGCCUAUUUUAAGCACGCCUGCAGCUUGAGUGGCGGUGAUUAAUUUAGACUUGGAGGUGUGAGAUAAUUAAGCUCGCUUUCGCUAACCGCUCCCUUCUACCACCUCGCAAGACCACUCUAAAGCAAGAUGAACCGUACAAGCAUUUGCUCUUCCCCAAUGGAAAAAAGGAAAUGUGGCAGUUUAGGCACCGCCUCAGCUCGAAGCUUAACCACAAUAUAAAAUCAGCUGGUCAGUAUUAUGCCAUGCGUGAUUUAUUCCGGUCAAUGAGGGUAGCUGGUGCAUGUGGUUGCAAUUACAGACGUGGUUACCUGAAGAUUUCCAACAAAGGAAAGGCGUUCCCCAUGGGAAACUACGAACAGGGAAAGGCUUGAAUUCUCUGGACACCCUGACAACAACCACAAUAACUGCCGUGUAUCAACAUGUCACAUCAGUGAAGAAAUUUUGACGGAGUGACCCACAGAUACUCACCUCUCACCCUGAAAUAGCAUCUGUGGCCUGGAGUUUUCCAGGGUUUCUCUGAAUUUGGAAGUUACACUUGGCAGAUUUCCAUGGGUGGCACAGAUAUAGGCUGAAGAAAAUUGAGACGAUGCACCAUUGCAAUCUAAAUUGAAGUGAAGCACCUGAACUGGCUCUGAAGAAAGGUGAUCUGU